CUUGCCUACGGGAGGCAGCAGUGGGGAAUAUUGGGCAAUGGGCGCAAGCCUGACCCAGCAACGCCGCGUGAAGGAAGAAGGCUGUCGGGUUGUAAACGUCUUUUCUCAGGGACGAAGCAAGUGACGGUACCUGAGGAAUAAGCCACGGCUAACUACGUGCCAGCAGCCGCGGUAAUACGUAGGUGGCAAGCGUUAUCCGGAUUUACUGGGUGUAAAGGGCGUGUAGGCGGGGAGGCAAGUCAGAUGUGAAAACCAAGGG
rnacentral:rRNA from 1 species